rnacentral:rRNA from 1 species
UACGUAGGGAGCAAGCGUUGUCCGGAAUCAUUGGGCGUAAAGCGCGCGUAGGCGGCCCCGUAAGUCCGCUGUGAAAGUCAAAGGCUCAACCUUUGAAAGCCGGUGGAUACUGUGGGGCUAGAGUCCGGAAGAGGCGAGUGGAAUUCCUGGUGUAGCGGUGGAAUGCGCAGAUAUCAGGAGGAACACCGGUGGCGAAGGCGGGUCUCUGGGCCAUAACUGACGCUGAGGAGCGAAAGCGUGGGGAGCAAACGGG